rnacentral:tRNA from 1 species
CGCGGGGUAGAGCAGUCUGGUAGCUCGUCGGGCUCAUAACCCGGAGGUCGGUUGGGUUCAAAUCCCCCCCCCGCAACCA